rnacentral:rRNA from 1 species
UACGGGGGGGGCAAGCGUUGUUCGGAAUUACUGGGCGUAAAGGGUUCGUAGGUGGCCAACUAAGUCAGACGUGAAAUCCCUCAGCUCAACUGGGGAACUGCGUCUGAUACUGGUUGGCUCGAGUGCAGGAGAGGAACGCGGAAUUCCAGGUGUAGCGGUGAAAUGCGUAGAUAUCUGGAGGAACACCGGUGGCGAAGGCGGCGUUCUGGACUGCAACUGACACUGAGGAACGAAAGCCAGGGGAGCAAACGGG